CUGGAAACUUGUAUGCAAAUUGGAGACAUAUUCAAAAACUGUAUUCCAGGAUAUGUAUGUCGAGGAAGAAGAGGGGAACUCGACACCCACCCAGGCUUCUGCAGCGAGUUCUGCCAAAUCUGUGCUGACCUUCUUUGAGUGUUGUGUGCAUGUAGUGCUAUAGAUGCAAACUCACCUUUCAGUGACAACUCACUUUUUUGAGGUUGAAAUGGGUCACCUAUGAGAUUUGCAUGGAUCCAAUGAGAGUUGAUCUUACAAGGAUACUUGUGAUCUUACGAGGGUAAAUAAAGUACUGGAAAUAGUA